rnacentral:rRNA from 1 species
ACACUCCUACGGGAGGCAGCAGUGGGGAAUUUUGGACAAUGGGGGCAACCCUGAUCCAGCCAUGCCGCGUGAGUGAAGAAGGCCUUCGGGUUGUAAAGCUCUUUUGUCAGGGAAGAAACGGUGGUGGCGAAUAACUACUACUAAUGACGGUACCUGAAGAAUAAGCACCGGCUAACUACGUGCCAGCAGCCGCGGUAAUACGUAGGGUGCAAGCGUUUAUCGGAAUUACUGGGCGUAUAGCGUGCGCAGGCGGUUGUGUAAGUCAGAUGUGAAAUCCCCGGGCUCAACCUGGGAAUUGCAUUUGAGACUGCACGGCUAGAGUGUGUCAGAGGGAGGUAGAAUUCCACGUGUAGCAGUGAAAUGCGUAGAUAUGUGGAGGAAUACCGAUGGCGAAGGCAGCCCCCUGGGAUAACAAUGACGCUCAUGCACGAAAGCGUGGGGAGCAAACAGGAUUAGAAACCCGGGUAGUCCCA